rnacentral:lncRNA from 1 species
AUGGCCCUCACCUCAGAGCCCCUCCAGAUAAUAAUGUCCAGAGAUAAAGACUCCACCAACCCUCUAGAUGAGAGUUUGAGAAACACUGCUCUAAUCGGUCUCAUUGUUUAUUUUAUUUAUUUAUUUACAGUAUUUAUAACCCACCCUCCUCAUCCCGAAGGGGACUCAGAGCGGCUUACAGUACACACAUACAGCAAACAUUUAAUGCCAAUUAUACAAUUAACAAGGACAGACAUCACAAACAGAGGUAAAGGCAGUUUUUCCCAUCUUGUUUCCGGCAUCUUGGAGGCUGUGCUUGACUCCGGGCACGGUGAGGUGCUGUCGCUCCAUCUUCCAUGUCAGAGUUUUCCUGUACCUAUUUAUCUACUUGCAUUUCUGCUUUCAACCUGCUAGGUGGGAAGGUGAGCUGGGGCUAAUGGCGGAUGCUCAUCCCAACCCGAGCUUGAACUGCCGACCUUUUGGUUGGCAGAAAUUUUCUGUGCUAAGCCCAGCUCCUUGUUGAAUAUCUCUUACUGUCAAGUUCUUAAUGCUCAACUUAACUUUUAAGUUACUGCAAUGCUAGAAAUUUGGAUAUUCAAGGAAUGUUUCAUUGUGGGAGAAUUCAUUUCAAGGGAGGAGAGUAGUGUUCUAUUAGCCCCUUAUAGUUGCAGCUCUAAACAUGUUCUUUUUUAUCAGAAUUUAGUUCCAAUGUAUAAACUCUGAUGUAUCCCUUAACAGCAGCAUCCUUUAAGACCAUGGACAAUAUUUCCUGUUUCAGAUCUCACAGAUCCAACUGAGUCAUCACACAACAUUUACAGUUUGUUCAAAACUUUCGAAUGACCCCCCCCCCCCCCCCCGCCCAACAGCUUCAUAGAGAUUUUAAACCUGAUGAAAAGAGAGUGUUUUAUGACACCUGGCCUAUAUGCACAUGUACUAAUGUCAGCGGAAAAUAAGAUUAAUACCUUGUACAUUUUUGUGUUGUCUGCCUUCGCUUGCAAUUUCAUUUUGAGAAUGACCUUUGUACAAACUUGCUGUAGAGGAGGAAAUGAAUACUUGGGGUCUCUACUUACAGGGGAUUCUGGUUUAUAAAUAUUUCUUUCUCUCUCUCUCUCUUUUUUUUUUUUUGAAAGCAGCUCAUUUGAGCAAAAUUUCCCACAUAAAAUACUUGAAGGGCCGUGGGUACUGUAACGGGUCAAUACACAAACCUUCCCUCUGUGGAUACUUGAUUGAUGAUGUUCAGGUCAUGAGUGAAGCCAAUGCGGCAUAGCUCCUCAUGAACACAGCCCUGUCCUUAGCUACACAUAUAUACAAACUUUAUACAACCUCCACUGGCAACAGACAUAUAGCAGUCUGAUAGAAUAUGAGAACUCAGGACAAAUGGCAUCUUAGCAGAGUUGUCUUCAUUUUAAAAAAGCAUAGAAAUUUACUGAUUAUAUAGACAAGGAUUUAACUUGGGGUAUUUAGGGGAAGGGACAGAUGCCAGAUGUGCUUUGGUGUCUGUGCACAAAGGCAUAGGUAAUUCUUACAGAUUUGCCCCCCUCCUUUAAACUAUACAUAGAAAGCCACAACCCUGCAUGUCUAUUUGGAAAUAAGUUCAGGUACAAUAGGUUUCAUGCAAAGUAGAGAGCAGUUCUAUGCAUAUCAAUUUGGUAGUAAGUCUAGGUGCAGUAGGUUUCAUGCAAAGCAGAGCUCAAUUCUAUGCAUAUCGAUUUGGGACUAAGUUUGGAUACAAGGUGUUUCAGACUGCAAAGCACAGCUGUACCCCAGGAUAACUUAGAGGUGUUUUUUUGUGUUCUUUCAUGGCAGGAAGUUGGAUUAAAUGGCCCUUGAGGUCUCUUCCAACUCUAGGAUUCAAUUCUGUGCAUGUCUAACUGAGAGUAAGACUGGCUACAGCAGGUUUCAGGCAUGCAAAGCCCAGCUCAGUAUUAUGCAUGUGUAUUUCACAGUAAGUCUAGGUACAGCAGAUUUUAGAAACGCAAAGUACAGCUCAAUUCAAUGUGUAUCUAUUCAGAAUGAAGCCCUACUACAGCAAGUUUCACACACACAAAACACAGAUCAUUUUAAAACAUUUGUUACAGUAGAUAUUAGGGCUAUGCAAAAUUUCGUUUGUGCCUUGUUUGUCAUAAGUAUUUUGUAAGAUUUGUAUAUACGACUUGACAUUAAGAAACCCGAGGGAUUUCAAGAUAAAAGGGGAUUGUUGGGAGUUGAAUCAACCCUGUGAUGUAGGCAAAGUUGAGAGGUAGUAACUUCAAAAUUUACCUAGCAGGCUUCCUAUUGUUGUUGUUGUUUUCAAAAACUGAAUGGGCAUCUGCUGGGGGUGCUUUUCUUGCCUGGCAGAAGGGAGUUGGGCUGGAUGGCAUCUGGGGUCUUCCAGUGAAAUAGGACUGUCACAUUUAUGUUGAUUAAAAUUCCCUGAAAAUUAGUGUAUGUGUAAAUCUUUCAGAAACUUGUGGGGAAUGAUGCCCUGGUUAUGUUGUAUCGUUGAAAAUAGAAAUUCAAGGAGAUAGCUAUUGUAGUGUUUUUAAAAAAUGUUGUUCAUAAAAACUUUUUUAAAAUUCCCAAACUCACUGGAUGUGUGAAACAUUCUGAAAAUGGGGGUGGGGAGUAGUAAAUGUGUUCUGCCAUUGUAACAAGUUUCAUUCUGAUAGCUCUAAAAAUGAGGUAGAAAGGAGCCCUGGAAGCUUCCCCACUUGCGCAAUUGCAUAAUGAAAAAGUAAUGAAAAUGUCAUUAUAUCAUUAUAGUUACAAUAUUGGCCUCUUACUGUAUUUUAGAAACACUUUAGAACUGAUUCGAGAUCACUCCGUAAUUUGGUAAUGAGUAUUGAAACUUUUUUUUUAUUGAUUGCACAGGCAUAGCACAUAUAUUCUGCUAUUUGAAAGUACCUGGCAGAGAGUCUCCAGGGAAUCAAGGAGGACAAAUGGAGUGUUUACCCCCUCCUCGUGCAUAAAACCAGACUUCAUCCCAUUUGUGAACAAAGUAGAUAGGUGAGCCACAGCAACAAAGUACAGGUGUUCCCAAUGCUUCCGUUUUGGCCUUCAGGUGAUUUGAAUUCUUCUGGUUCUCUGAAACUGUGCCACCACAGAACCACAGUUUGGCUGAGAGCUAGCUUGUGGUUCCACCUCCUGGCUCCUGAGGGACUCACAUGUAACCUUCCAUGCAUGUGAAUCAGCCCAGUGUGUAUUGCAUAGCCAGC